rnacentral:rRNA from 1 species
UGGGGAAUAUUGCACAAUGGGCGCAAGCCUGAUGCAGCCAUGCCGCGUGUGUGAAGAAGGCCUUCGGGUUGUAAAGCACUUUCAGCGAGGAGGAAGGUGGUGAGCUUAAUACGCUCAUCAAUUGACGUUACUCGCAGAAGAAGCACCGGCUAACUCCGUGCCAGCAGCCGCGGUAAUACGGAGGGUGCAAGCGUUAAUCGGAAUUACUGGGCGUAAAGCGCACGCAGGCGGUUUGUUAAGUCAGAUGUGAAAUCCCCGGGCUCAACCUGGGAACUGCAUUUGAAACUGGCAAGCUAGAGUCUCGUAGAGGGGGGUAGAAUUCCAGGUGUAGCGGUGAAAUGCGUAGAGAUCUGGAGGAAUACCGGUGGCGAAGGCGGCCCCCUGGACGAAGACUGACGCU